UGUCACCAGUAACUGAUUGUGUCAGGCCCACAUUAACCAUGGGCAUCAGAAUGCACAACAUUGACACUAGGCAAAAGUAAAGAAUUGUAACUUAAUUGUCAAAUGCUAGCCAAUACAUCUAUGUAAACUGUAAAUUUCCAGUGUCCCACGUCAGACACUAACUGUAGAUAUGGAAUUUGGGGAAAGCUUAUCAUAGAUGAUAGUCUAAUAUUUAUGAGUGUUAGAAUCUCUCAAUUAUUAUAAAUCCCUUAAUCGUGUAAAUUAGCUGUAAAUUAGAA
rnacentral:misc_RNA from 1 species